CAAAACAUAAUCUGAUACAUAGACAUGGAGUUCCAUAAUUUUGUUUUUGUGUAAUGUUAUUCUUUUAAAAUAAAUUAUUUAUAUUUUUGAAAAGCUUGGCAAAUUCAGUAUUCUGUUUUUUUUUUUUUUUGCUUGUUGCAUUCUGUCUCAUUAUUCAACUUUGUUUAUCAAUAUAUAGUUUUUAAAUGUAGUGUGGCAAUUUAAAUAUCAUUUAAUUAAAGUGACUGAUAAAAUAUAUAAAUAUUGAAAGUCCAUUGAAAAAAAAUCAUUUUAACAUUGAAUAUCAAAUGAUUGUUAAUGUUAUUUAGUGUACCUGUACUUUGACCUGUACAAUAAAUAAAAAAAUAAAACAUAAAAACAAAAAAAAUGGAAAAAUAUCAAUAAAAAAAACCUCGAGCCAGUUCAAGGUAUUACGGGAAAUUCACUAAUUUUUUGAUUGACAACAUUUUUCACGAUUUUUUUUUAAUCAGCAAAAAAACAAAAAUAAUACAAAUAACUUUGGUAAUUUAUUGUAUGUUCCAUGACUUUGCUUUUAAAAACUCGAGUCGUGCCAGAGAUAACCGUUUCACCUUUAACCAAAAAAAAAACAGUAAUUAUUUAUUUGUAUGAAAAUUAACCAAAACGUAACAUAAUUUAUUUUUUGAAAUGUGUAAUAUGAUUAACGAAUUCUGCUCAAAAGAAGUUUUGUUUCAUAAAAAAAAUAUAAUUUUGAUCAUUAGGCCGAUGCAAAUAUUUAAAAAAGUUUUUGUCCCUCGGCCCUGGCCAAGGUCAAGGGGGGGGGGGCAAAAAAAUAAAAAAAUAUAAAAAUUUUAAUAACAAGCCAUAGUCUUCACAUUUAAAUGAAAAAAGUGUUUUAAAAUGCAUUUUACACUAGUUCAGUUGUUUUGCAAUCAUUAGUUUUCAAAAAAUCUAAGAUCUGACAAAAACAAAAAUUGUAUCGAAAAAAAAGAUUUUGCAUCGAAAAUUUUAAAAAAAAUCAUAAUAAACUCAAACAUGCUAAAAAUGAUUUUAAACGCAGAAGAAUGUAUUUUAAUUUGAUUUCAGCUGGUUGCACUUGAAUUUUCGUUGAAAUUUUGAAGUUUAUUGUUAAAAUAUUUUUUUUGCCCCCUGAUUUUUCGGGCCAAUUUUGAAGGGGGGGGUGACAAAAACUUUUAAAAAUAUUUGUGCCAGCCUUAUUGAAACUCACUCUCUUGGGAGCCAAAACCAACGCGAAUGAAUCUCUAUGAAUUUUACACUCUUUCUCAAUUUAAAAAUGAGACUAGUGAGAUGAUUUGAAAAAAAUAAACAUUGCCAACAAUUUGGUAACGUUUGUAGUUUAUUUAAUUUCUAUUGUGAAUCUUAUAUUAGGUUUUAUAAUAUUCUCGUAACAAGUAAUUUAAUUUUUAAUGAAUUUAUUUCUAGCUUUUUUUUUUUCUUCCAUGCAUAUUUUUUCUUGGUGAGCCGGCUUUUUCAGAAUUUCCAAUAUUAGUGAAACACGAUUUCACGCGCUCACAUCGUGAGCCUCAAACUCACCAUAACACUGCGUGGCGUCUCACCAAACUCGAACAAGCUGAUUCGGCAGAUCUGUACAUCUCGCCGAGAGACGACGACUAUUCAGGUCAGUGAGCUACGAGACGUCGCGACGUUCAAACCGAGGCGUUCGACACGCGCGUCGACUGAUCGGCCAUUGCGUUCAAGAAGGGAGUGUGAACAGGACGGGUACGAUUUGUAGUGCGUUCUCUGUUUUGCUUGUUGAGUGGGGUCUGCCAGAGGUAAUACUGCUUUAUAAGUAGAUUUUUUGAGGGGGGUUCUGAGGAAGUUGAUUUUCUCCCGUCCCGUCUGUUUCCCGUCUCAGUACAGAGGAGCGUUCUGGGUAGUAAUUUGCGGUAGUGACUAGUGACAACGCAGCAGGUGUGAAGGCCAGCCAACCAUAUUGAACGCGAAAUCGACAGGUUCAGACACACAUUUUUUAAAUUGGAAACAGCAACUACAAGACUGAAAAAAAAAACAAACUGGAAAUGGAUGAUGUUAGAG